UACGUAGGCAGCAAGCGUUGUUCGGAGUUACUGGGCGUAAAGGGUGUGUAGGCGGUUCUUUAAGUUUGGUGUGAAAUCUCCCGGCUUAACCGGGAGGGUGCGCCGAAUACUGAGGGACUAGAGUACGGGAGAGGAAAGUGGAAUUCCUGGUGUAGCGGUGAAAUGCGUAGAUAUCGGAAGGAACACCAGUGGCGAAAGCGACUUCCUGGUCCAAUACUGACGUUCAUGUGCGAAAGCGUGGGGAGCAAACAGG
rnacentral:rRNA from 1 species